rnacentral:rRNA from 1 species
AAUAGAUACCCGGGUAGUCCACGCCCUAAACUAUGAUAACUCGUUGUUGGAGGAUUCGACCCCUUCAGUGACUAAGCUAACGCGAUAAGUUAUCCGCCUGGGUAGUACGAUCGCAAGAUUAAAACUCAAAGGAAUAGACGGGGACCCACACAAGCGGUGGAGCAUCUGGUUUAAUUCGACAAUAAGCGGAAAACCUCACCAAGACUUGACAUCCCGGGAAGACUGCCGAAAGGUGGUUGUGCCGCAAGGAACCCGGUGACAGGUGCUGCAUGGUUGUCGUCAGCUCGUGCCUUGAGGUGUUCGGUUAAGUCCGUAAACGAGCGCAACCCAUGUUAUGUGUUGUAUUUUUCACAUAAGACUGCCGGCUUCAAGUCGGAGGAAGGUAUGGAUGACGUCAAAUCAGCAUGGCCCUUAUGUCUUGGGCUACACAGGUGCUACAAUGGUUGGUACAAAGGGCUGCCAAGAAGUAAUUCGGAGCAAAUCCCAAAACCAAUCUAAGUUCGGAUUGAGGGCUGAAAUUCGCCCUCAUGAAGCUGGAAUCGCUAGUAACCG